UAUAUAUUGAGAUUCAUAGGUAGAUAUGUUUGUAAGAUUGUCAAUGCACCUAUAUGUAUGUAAAUAAAAUUUUAUAUAUGGACACUCAGGCAAAAGCUGGUUGCUUUGAAACUGCCGGCCAACCAGCAUAAAUGCCCUUGACAUUGAACUUCUCAAAGUGACUCCGUAGGUAUGAUAAGAAUAUAGGUAAAUAUUUUUGUAAGCUUACAGUUAUUCUCAAUCCAUGUAUAUAACAUUUGACAUUAUUAUUAAAGGAGAUUUGGGCAGAGGUAUCUUAUACAUUUGGUUGUACGUGUGAAAAUUCAUGUAGCCUAACAGUGCCAUUUUGAGUAUAAUGUUAUUAUAAAAGCUUACGUGCAAUAGUUACCAGUAAAAUGAAAUAGAAAUGAUUAAUGAAACGGUCUACACGGUUCGGCUGGAUAUUAAACGAAUGAAGCAUAUUCCGAGAAAAAAUAAAACUAUACAAUUUCAUCAUUAUUAUUAUUUGUUACAAAUGUCUUAAGCAUACUUUCUAACUCGAAUUGGGACAACAUCGCCCAUAUUUAUUACCAAGUCGUUAUUAUUAUAGUAUUUCGAAGUGCACCUAUCAUUAUAAAAUUAUAAUAAUCAUGAUCUUUAAUAAUAUUAUUGAGUAUAAAUGUUUUGAAAAUAUAAGCUUUAUAAAUGUUGUGAAAAUAUAAGCAUUACUUAAAAAUCAAUAAUUAAUGUAACUAAAUUUUGGUACAUACCACACAAGCUCGCAGGAGAAGAAGAAGAGGAGCUCUUAUCACUAGGUGUCCCAGAAUGCAACUGAAACGAUCUGCAGUGGGCUUCCCUUUAUAUGGGACAAGCAUCACUGAUGGUACGAUGGAAUUGGACUGACCAUACAAAAUACACAUAAAGAGAACUAAGAACUGAGAACUGAGUUGGGCUGCAGAGCUCAAGGCUAAGUUUGAUGCUCAAUGUGCGAUCUAACAGACAGAGAGGCGGUCAUAUAGAGUAUGCUUGAGCUCAUUCGUAUAGUCUAAGCACUCAGAGCACAUAAAUGGAAUAAAGUGAACUAGCUCUACGCUCUUGUUUGACACUAUAGAAUAUGAUUAAUUCAAUUAAAAUGAUAUAUGAAAACAGCAAAGAAAAUUAUGGUUGUCAAAUUAUACUAACAAAUUAAAUAGUAACAGACUAAGGCAUAGAGAAUUGGAGAGGUUUUCAAUUGGCACAUACAGUGCCGGAAAACUGAAUAGGUACCCCCAAUAUUUUUUAAGGACAAUCUGAUUGCAUGCCGAGCGGAUUGCGAGUUGCACCCACAACAAUGAAACAAUUGAAACGAUUAGAAGGCUGCUCCCUUUAGAGACGCCUCAAUUUGUCAACAGAAUUGGAAAUGUCGUAAAUCCAAAUAAACAUGCAUUAAACUCUAACCCACAUACAAUAUUUUCGAUUAUGGCCAACAAGAAGAGGAGCAGACAUCGAGUGGAUGUGGCGGGCAGACAGACGAUUCGGUGCUCUCUUAACUUGAACGUAUGCAAAUAUCAUAAUUCUUCCAUCAUGUCUGCAACAUCAUAAAGCAGCAUGGCGAAGGCAGAAGGCAGAUGUCAGGUCGACCCAAGACACAACGUUUCAAUAGGCCGCAAAUAUGACUUGGCCUGGCUUGGUCUGGGCUGUCCUAGCCUGUCCUGGUCUGAUGGCGCAUGUAAGGCAACACUGCAGCCGAUUGCUUAUGAGGGCAACCGAAACAAAAAUUGUUUCGGCAUGCCGCGAAGGUUGCUGCCACAAGCAAAUGAGUGGGGAACACGCAACGUUUUGCAUUUAGUUUUUGGGUGGCGGGGGGAGCAUGGAGUGGCGGGGAAGACUGGUGGGAGGGCGGUAGGGCGGUGUCUCAGACAUCAAACUUAUUUAUUUACUCUAAAAACAAUACAAGAAAAUUAAUAGCAAUUUGCAUAGUUUCAUAAAUAUGUUGCAAUAAAUGUUCUUAACAAGUGAACACUAUUCGGGUUACCAUAAAUGGGAAAGCCUUUUGGCAUUAAUAAGGCCUCACCUUUGCCAUCUCGUAUUGAUUGGCCUAAACGUGUUGUCUGUGUGUCUGUCUGUCUGGGUUGCCCUAUCAGCCGUCAUUUAAUUGACUUUGUUUGUGGCUUCAUCAGAAAGCCAUUUGAGCCAAUGUGCGUGCCGUCAAUUAAAGUUUGUUAGCGAAACAUUCAGUGUCUUUAAUUAAGUAUUGCUGGGGGCAGGUGUAUGCACACACAUACAUACGUAGGCCGGCAGAAGUUGCAUAAAAAUUAGCUGCAGUUAUUAAUUUUUUAGAAAGAGGAGAAUAAAGUUGUAGUUUUUUUUGGGGGGAGGUCUGCAAACAUGAAAGUAAAUUGUUGAGAUAUUAAAACGAGUUUAUUGAAGUUUAUUGGGACUUGUCAGCGCAUGCAAACCAAGUCACAAAAGCCACAACAACCGACAGCAACAACAACAAAGAAACAACACAACAGAAAGUCAAGAGAAGGCAGCCUACAAAAUUAUGAAAGAGUAAACGGUUUAGUUUGAAAUUGACUACUGAGGCGAGCAGACCGGCGAAGAAUUAUUAUUUAACUAUUUUUUUUUUUGUAGAUAUAUAUAUUCCUUACAUAUGUAAUAGUAAAUAUGCAGUUAGGCAACAGUGUUUUAUAGCAAUAAAUAAUUUUAAAAUAUAAAAAGUCUAAAGAUGAUUUAAUAUAUA